UACGUAGGGGGCAAGCGUUAUCCGGAUUUACUGGGUGUAAAGGGAGCGUAGACGGCUGUGCAAGCCAGAUGUGAAAGCCCGGGGCUCAACCCCGGGACUGCAUUUGGAACUGUGUAGCUGGAGUGUCGGAGAGGCAGGCGGAAUUCCUAGUGUAGCGGUGGAAUGCGUAGAUAUUAGGAGGAACACCAGUGGCGAAGGCGGCUUACUGGACAGUAACUGACGUUGAGGCUCGAAAGCGUGGGGAGCAAACAGG
rnacentral:rRNA from 1 species